rnacentral:rRNA from 1 species
GACGAACGCUGGCGGCGUGCUUAACACAUGCAAGUCGAACGGAAAGGCCCUGCUUGCAGGGUACUCGAGUGGCGAACGGGUGAGUAACACGUGGGUGAUCUGCCCUGCACUUCGGGAUAAGCCUGGGAAACUGGGUCUAAUACCGGAUAGGAGCCAUUUUUAGUGUGAUGGUUGGAAAGUUUUUUCGGUGUAGGAUGAGCUCGCGGCCUAUCAGCUUGUUGGUGGGGUAAUGGCCUACCAAGGCGGCGACGGGUAGCCGGCCUGAGAGGGUGGACGGCCACAGUGGGACUGAGAUACGGCCCAGACUCCUACGGGAGGCAGCAGUGGGGAAUAUUGCACAAUGGGCGCAAGCCUGAUGCAGCGACGCCGCGUGGGGGAUGACGGCCUUCGGGUUGUAAACUCCUUUCGCUAGGGACGAAGCUUUUUGUGACGGUACCUAGAUAAGAAGCACCGGCUAGCUACGUG